rnacentral:rRNA from 1 species
ACGGAAGGCAGCAGUGGGGAAUAUUGCACAAUGGGCGCAAGCCUGAUGCAGCGAUGCCGCGUGAGGGAAGAAGGUUUUCGGAUUGUAAACCUCUGUCAACAGGGACGAUAAUGACUGUACCUGUGAAGGAAGCUCCGGCUAACUACGUGCCAGCAGCCGCGGUAAUACGUAGGGAGCAAGCGUUAUCCGGAAUUACUGGGUGUAAAGGGAGUGUAGGCGGGACUGUAAGUCAGAUGUGAAAUAUGCCGGCUCAACUGGCAGACUGCAUUUGAAACUGCGGUUCUUGAGUGAAGUAGAGGAAAGCGGAAUUUCUAGUGUAGCGGUGAAAUGCGUAGAUAUUAGGAAGAACACCGGAGGCGAAGGCGGCUUUCUGGACUGAAACUGACGCUCAGGCACGAAAGCGUGGGGAGCAAACAGGAUUAGAUACCCUGGUA